rnacentral:rRNA from 1 species
UACGUAGGGUGCAAGCGUUGUCCGGAAUUAUUGGGCGUAAAGAGCUCGUAGGCGGUCUGUCGCGUCUGCUGUGAAAACUCGGGGCUUAACCCCGGGCCUGCAGUGGGUACGGGCAGACUAGAGUGCGGUAGGGGAGACUGGAAUUCCGUGGUGUAGCGGUGAAAUGCGCAGAUAUCAGGAAGAACACCCGUGGCUAAGGCGGCUCUCUAGUACGGUACUGACGCUGAGACGCGAAAGCGUGGGGAGCAAACAGG